rnacentral:rRNA from 1 species
AUUGAACGCUGGCGGCAGGCCUAACACAUGCAAGUCGAGCGAGCGGCGGACGGGUGAGUAAUGUAUGGGGACUGCCCGAUCGAGGGGGAUAACUACUGGAAACGGUGGAUAAUACCGCAUACUAUCGGAUAACCCAUAUGGGAUUAGCUAGUAGGUGGGGUAAAGGCUAACCUAGGCGACGAUCUCGAGCUGGUCUGAGAGGAUGAGCAGCCACACUGGGACUGAGACACGGCCCAGACUCCUACGGAGGCAGCAGUGGGGAAUAUUGCGCAAUGGGCGAAAGCCUGAUUCAGCCACGCCGCGUGUAUGAAGAAGGCCUUAGGGUUGUAAAGUACUUUCAGCGGGGAGGCGUUACCCGCAGAAGAAGCACCGGCUAACUCCGUGCCAGCCGCCGCGGUAAUAC